rnacentral:tRNA from 1 species
GCCUGGGUGGCUCGGUCAGUUAAGCAUCUGACUUCAGCUCAGGUCAUGAUCUCACGAUUUGGUUCGUGGGUUCAAGCCCCAUGUCAGGCU